GCUGCAGACAGUGCUCCAUAUGCAAGUAUGUGCUGAAGCACUUCAUCCUACCUCGUUUAAACUCCUCUGUCCUGUGAGGAAGGUACUCAUCCUGCUUUUUCCGAUAAAAUCCUAAGAAUCAGAAGGGCACAUAGAAAGAUGGAAUCAGGAUUCCAACAUGAUGUAAAGAUUCACAGGUUUGAUGUGUUAUCUCUUGAAUUUGCUGUUCAUUCUGAUUUCACACAUUGUUUUGGACAACUGUGUUGCUCAGUGUAUUUACAUCAGACACCAGGGUAAGUGGUGUGAUACAAAAGUGACUGGAACAGCUUGCGAAGGAAUUCAAAGGUGAAUAUGGAGUCUAGGCCCUUGGUGAGCUCAGUCACAUGCAAGCCAGAGACUAAAAGGUAGGGUAACAGUGUAAUCUAUGAUCCUAACCAGGGUACAUCUGAUUGUAAAGGGGGCACCAUUAAUGCUCAAGCAGGCGACUUUCCAGAGAAAAGUAGGACUUAAGGUCACUAUAGCUAGAGGAAAUCCCAGGGUAUGUGGGGAGUACAGAUGGGAGGGCCUUAACCAACUAGAAGAGGUGCCCUCUAGUUGGGUGCAGAUAAUGUGGCAUGUCGUUACCCUCAUACUCACUGCUCACUCUUUACCCCUUGGCUUAGAUGUUACUUCCUCUGCAGGCCUCCCCAUCCCUGGAAUCUGGAUCAUAACCCUUACACAUGCUUUCAGGUUUGCCAAGUCUUCCCCUGGUUGUAUGAGUCCUGUGAGAAGCUUUAUGGUUCUGAUGAGGCCCCCAGUUUGAAGCUCAGUAGUAUACCACAUUGCAUGCAGGAGGUUAAAGGGGUGGGCUACAGGUUUUUCAGAAACGUAUAAAAGCAAUAGCUGUUCCCCAAGCAUUAUUAAGUUAAUGAAUAAUUUUGGUAUAUAAAACUAAGCCGGAUUCACCACCAUCAUUGUCAAUAUAAACCCAGCUGGAAUAGGUUUAAAGCCACUGAGAAACUGAUAUUUGCUACGAAUAGAUGGACCUUUGAAAAUGGUACCAACUAUAGGACUCAUGACCCCAGAUGUUUUCACGUUAUUCUCUCAUUUCCUUUUCAGUGAAAAUGUGGCUGUUGUUUUCCUGGCAUUAGAAGUACACCACAUAAUGUGUGAUUUAUUUUCCCCCAAUAAACAGUGAUGAUAAUUAAGAUAUUAAGUAUGCUAUUUCAAGUUUUCACGGCACCUGGUGAACAUGUAAUACUUCUUCCUCAUACCUGUAUUAUAC
rnacentral:lncRNA from 1 species